UAGAUGGAUGCUCGCUGGUUUGGGCGCUUAGCUGUUAACUAAGAGUUUGUGGGAUCGAAACCCUCUCAUCUAG
rnacentral:tRNA from 1 species